CGAAGGGUGCAAGCGUUACUCGGAAUUACUGGGCGUAAAGCGUGCGUAGGCGGUUUGUUAAGUCUGUCGUGAAAGCCCCGGGCUCAACCUGGGAAUGGCGGUGGAUACUGGCAGGCUAGAGUACGGUAGAGGAUGGUGGAAUUCCCGGUGUAGCAGUGAAAUGCGUAGAGAUCGGGAGGAACAUCUAUGGCGAAGGCAGCCAUCUGGACCAGUACUGACGCUGAGGCACGAAAGCGUGGGGGAGCAAACAGGAUU
rnacentral:rRNA from 1 species